UACAGAGACUGCAAGCGUUAUUCGGAUUCACUGGGCGUAAAGGGUGCGCAGGCGGCCGGGUGUGUCAGAUGUGAAAUCCCGAGGCUCAACCUCGGAGCUGCGUCUGAAACUACUCGGCUAGUGUACUGGAGAGGGUAACGGAAUUCACGGUGUAGCAGUGAAAUGCGUAGAUAUCGUGAGGAACACCAGAGGCGAAGGCGGUUACCUGGACAGUUACUGACGCUCAGGCACGAAAGCAUGGGGAGCAAAAGGG
rnacentral:rRNA from 1 species